rnacentral:rRNA from 1 species
UACAGAGGGUGCGAGCGUUGUUCGGAAUUAUUGGGCGUAAAGGGCGCGUAGGCGGUGCGGUAAAUCACCUGUGAAAUCUCCUGGCUCAACUAAAAGCUUACAAGCGAAACUGCCGUGCUGAAGUGUGGGAGAGGUGCAUGGAAUUCCCGAUAUAGCGGUGAAAUGCGUAGAUAUCGAGAGGAACACCUAUGGCGAAAGCGGCGCACUGAACCACAACUGACGCUGAGGCGCGAAAGCUAAAAGAGCAAACAGG